AUGGCUGGAUCUGCUCCUCGAUCUAGCAGGAUGGAUGUAGCUACCUACUUGAUUCAAAUCAUUACUUUGCUUCCUCUGCUGGAACCUGGGGUUGAAGUUGGGAUUCUGCAUCUGGUCGGCCCUCAAUCACAGGCCAGGGAUGGCCAUGGUUUUUCCGCUUCAGAGUUGAGCUGGAUGCCCGUGCAGUGCACGAGUCUCCUGAACACAAUGAGCAUGCCGUGGUCUGUCGUCUGUUCCAGCAGCAACGUUCAUACGUUGUUGUCCACUACUCCAGUGCAGCAGCAGCCCGAAAAUAAUGGAGAGCUGAUUCUUAGGUAUGUGAAGAAAGGGUGGGAAGAUCAAAUCAAGGACCCGGGCAGUUACUGGAAGUUCAAUGAUCGCAGGGGGGCAGUGGAUGCUUCAUACGAACAAGUGCAACCAAGAUCUGGGUUGCAGCUUAAGGAGGCCAUUCGAUGA
rnacentral:rRNA from 1 species